GUGAUCUCCGACCCGUUUCAUAACACUCACUUCCUAGCAAGAGCGUUUGCCGGGGCCGUAAAAUUCACUCGGUUUGGGAGGAAUCGUGUCCCCGCGAUGACGAGCUCGGUUCCUAUACACAGUGUGUUCCCAGGAAGGCCUCUUCCGUGUGAGUAAAGUGGCAAUAUUGUAACAGCCUAAUGCACCAUUUUUCUGGAAUUUGUGGAAACGCAGGAAACGGCCACAGACAGGGAUCGAAGGGUGGACGGCAGCGAGAAGCUGCAGAACCUCAUUUGCGGGAGCCGUCCUGUUCAGCGCCCCUUCCUGGGGCUCCCCUUGGGGACUGCAGGCUGGCGGGGCACAGGGCCUCCACGGGGACGCCCCCCGUGAAACUCGGACCUGGUCUUCUGAACCCUCCUGGAACCAGCAGGCAGCGUUAGCCAAGGGGCUGCGGCUCCCCUCCUCCCCCACCCCUCCUCCACAUCACCCGGGGUCAAGGGCCCCCCACAGGGAGUUUUAUCCUUAACUAAUGAUACUCCCCCAGCAGGGAGACCCUGUUCCGGGGGGACAAAACCCAGGUACGGGCUGGAUGACCCCUGGAGCCUCACCCCGAUUACAGCUACCUAGCCUGAAAUAGUUUGUGUGGCUGUUAGCCUGAAAGAAACGCUAAAUUCUACUCUUCCAUUGCCUCUGCUCCAAAACACACCCAUCAGAUUGUGCCGUUUAUGGGAAAGUGACGUCCAGCUCAGUGACCAUAGUUAACGAGGCUGUGCUGCAUAUCUGAAAGUGGCUAAGAUCUUAAAAGUCCUCGUCCCAAGGAAAAAAAAAGGUCUAUUACGGUGAUUGUUUCACAGUAUAUACAAAUAUCAGAUGGUUAUAUUGUGCACCUGAAGCUACCCUAAGGUUGUAUGUCAACUAAACCUCAAUGUUAAAAUGCUGUUCUUAAAAUGUGCUGUUUUCCUGAAAAUUUUGGUGUAAGUCUGAAUUUCGUACAAGUAACAAAAUUUUUGACGGCAUAAUUUACUAUGCCAAUUGGAAAAUCAGAAUAAAAAAGGGCCUUAAACUCAA